ACAUAACAGGGAUUUUUUUUUAUGCCUUGGGGUUCUGUUUCUGAUUUUCUUUCUGUGUGUUUCUCCAUUAUGUUGUUGCAUUUUUCUCUAUUUACGUUAUCUCCCUUUCCCUUUUUCUCUCUGUCCCUCCCUCCUUCUUCCUCUCUAUUCUUCCCCUCCCCUUGUUUUUAUGCCUGAUUAUGUGGACACAGACAAGGAUUAAAACAGGGCACCUGCCCUUGAGGAGUUUACAAUCUGCUGGGCUGAGGAUCAACACAUGUUCAAAAAGAGAGGAAAGAAGUCAAGGGAGAUCAUGCCAGAUGGACUUAAUUUCAAUGAAGAACAGGCAUUUCCAUGGAAAGAGACAAGUUGCUGCGUGAAAAAAGAAGGAGUUGGGGGAAUUUGAAAGGAAGCUGAAAAGCUGGCGACAGGGCUUCCAUUACGUAGACAGUCAUCCUGACAUGGUACCUGAACAAAUCCCAUCAAGGACAGAUUCUCAGUCUUGAAGAGGCAGCACAGUAAAGGGGAAAGAUCAUGAGUUUUGGGGCCAGGUUCCCUUGGAUAUUGUGGGGUCCCCACACUUCUGGAUGAUGUUGGAUAACUCUUUGAGACUUAGGCUUCACAUCUGUAAAAUGGAAAUACUUAUUUUUCAGAGUUGUCAUAAACACUAAAUGAUUUGACUUAUAUCAACCUAAUUCCUACUGGCUCAUUGAACUCAGCUCAGCUGUCCCCUCUGUUCGGAUGCCUUCCCCAGUGGGGCUUAGUUAGGUAU
ensembl:lncRNA novel transcript